UGCAAGUCGAACGCGAAAGGGGAGCAAUCCCUGAGUAGAGUGGCAAACGGGUGAGUAACACGUGGGUGACCUGCCUUCGAGUGGGGGAUAACGUCCCGAAAGGGACGCUAAUACCGCAUGACGUCCUGCUCUUGGACGAGCGGAGAUCAAAGCUGGGGAUCGCAAGACCUGGCGCUUGAAGAGGGGCCCGCGCCUGAUUAGCUAGUUGGUGAGGUAACGGCUCACCAAGGCUACGAUCAGUAUCCGGCCUGAGAGGGCGGACGGACACACUGGGACUGAGACACGGCCCAGACUCCUACGGGAGGCAGCAGUGGGGAAUUGUUCGCAAUGGGCGCAAGCCUGACGACGCAACGCCGCGUGGAGGAUGAAGAUCUUCGGGUCGUAAACUCCUGUCGAGCGGGAAGAAUAGUUUCGGCGUGAAUAUCGCCGAGACCUGACGGUACCGCUAAAGGAAGCCCCGGCUAACUCCGUGCCAGCAGCCGCGGUAAUACGGGGGGGGCAAGCGUUGUUCGGAAUUACUGGGCGUAAAGGGCUCGUAGGCGGCCAACUAAGUCGGACGUGAAAUCCCCAGGCUCAACCUGGGAACUGCGUCCGAUACUGGAUGGCUUGAAUUCGGGAGAGGGAUGCAGAAUUCCAGGUGUAGCGGUGAGAUGCGUAGAUAUCUGGAGGAAUACCGGUGGCGAAGGCGGCAUCCUGGACCGACAUUGACGCUGAUGAGCGAAAGCUAGGGGAGCAAACGGGAUUAGAUACCCCGGUAGUCCUAGCCCUAAACGAUGAAUGCUUGGUGUGACGGGUAUCGAUCCCUGUCGUGCCGAAGCUAACGCAUUAAGCAUUCCGCCUGGGAGUACGGUCGCAAGGCUG
rnacentral:rRNA from 1 species